ACCUCCCGUCAAAGAAAAACUUCUUCAGUACCAGAUCCCAUGUGAUCUUGGAAACUAAGCAGGAUCAGCCCUGGUUUGGACUUGGAUGAGAAACUGCCAAUGAAUACCAGGAGCUGUAGGGU
rnacentral:rRNA from 11 species